CAGCCGCCACGGGAAUACAGAGGGUGCGAGCGUUAAUCGGAUUUACUGGGCGUAAAGCGUGCGUAGGCGGCUUUUUAAGUCGGAUGUGAAAUCCCUGAGCUUAACUUAGGAAUUGCAUUCGAUACUGGGAAGCUAGAGUAUGGGAGAGGAUGGUAGAAUUCCAGGUGUAGCGGUGAAAUGCGUAGAGAUCUGGAGGAAUACCGAUGGCGAAGGCAGCCAUCUGGGCUAAUACUGACGCUGAGGUACGAAAGCAUGGGGAGCAAACAGGAUUAGAUACCCCUGUAGUCCCUGUCUCUUAUAC
rnacentral:rRNA from 1 species